CAAAACAAAGGGAAGCAAAGCCGCGAGGCGGAGCGAAUCCCCAAAAGGCGUCUCAGUUCGGAUUGCAGGCUGCAACUCGCCUGUAUGAAGUCGGAAUUGCUAGUAAUCGUGGAUCAGCAUGCCACGGUGAAUACGUUCCCGGGCCUUGUACACACCGCCCGUCACACCAUGAGAGCCGGGAACACCCGAAGUCCGUAGUCUAACCUAUAUGGAGGACGCGGCCGAAGGUGGGAUUGGUAAUUGGGGUGAAGUCGUAACAAGGUAUC
rnacentral:rRNA from 1 species